CUAAUACUCCCUCCGUCCUAAAAUUCUUGUCUUAGAUUUGUCUAGAUACGGAUGUAUCUAAUACUAAAACGUGACUUGAUACAUCCGUAUUUAGACAAAUCUAAGACAAGAAUUUUGGGACGGAGGGAGUAUAAG
rnacentral:pre_miRNA from 1 species